GGCGCUGGCGCGUGCGUCACACGUCGUUCAGGCCCUGCAGUGCGAAUACCCAGAGAACGGGUGGUAGGUUUGGUAACGGUCGAAACCAGCGAGCUGCCGUCCCCGCCCCGGAACCUGAAUAUGUCACACAGUCUGCCCAACGCCGAUGUUGAACGUGCUUUCAUAAACCACGGUCCGGGGCUCCGCAUUUUGGACUCGGCCCGUUUUGUGACUGAAGCACAAAGGAUUAGACAAGUAGCAAUUUGGCGUGAAACCUGAUGGCCUGGCAUUUUCUCUGGGUGGAGAUUGUGCCCACAUGCUGAUAAUGGAUUAGUGCUGCGUUGGUGGACUAGAUACAAAGACAUUCUGAAAGUCAACCUCAGAGCCUGUAAGUUGGACCCGACUACAUGGGUAAAAUCAACCCUGGACAGAUCCAAAUGGAAAAGAGCUUGUCAUUAAGCAAUCUCAAUAUUUGAGGAGAACAGAGUUAGGUCCCUACAAGACAAGCAAGUAUGCUGCAAAACAAGUGCCUUCAUCCACCACUUCAAAAAUGACUUCAUAUAUAAUAAUUGCAAUCAGAUCAGCAAAUCAAGAUUUUGCUAAAAAUCACACAUGAGACAACACCAACCUAGAAAGUGAACAAUUGAUCUCCAUGCAUCGAAGCGAUGAGAGAAUCCAUCAAAUCCAUCAGGUGGACUAGGAUAAUCAGAGGCUGCCUGAAGGAAUUAGAAUCCAAUUAUUUGCCUCUUAGUCAAAUAACUGCAGUUUUGUUAACUCCUAAUAAAAUAUGAAUUACAUUUUUA